GGAGAGGUGCCCGAGAGGCCGAAGGGAGCAGUUUGCUAAACUGUCGUAGGUGUACGCCUACCGAGGGUUCGAAUCCCUCCCUCUCCG
rnacentral:tRNA from 2 species